rnacentral:rRNA from 1 species
UACGUAGGUGGCAAGCGUUGUCCGGAUUUACUGGGCGUAAAGAGCGCGCAGGCGGUCGUUCAAGUCGCGUGUGAAAGCCCCCGGCUCAACUGGGGAGGGUCACGCGAUACUGAUCGACUCGAAGGCAGGAGAGGGUAGUGGAAUUCCCGGUGUAGUGGUGAAAUUCGUAGAUAUUGGGAAGAACACCGGUGGCGAAGGCGGCGCUCUGGACCGAGACUGACGCUGAGGCGCGAAGGCGUGGGGAGCAAACAGG